GAUGAAGAACGCAGCGAAAUGCGAUAAGUAAUGUGAAUUGCAGAAUUCAGUGAAUCAUCGAAUCUUUGAACGCACAUUGCGCCCGCCAGCAUUCUGGCGGGCAUGCCUGUUCGAGCGUCAUUUCAACCCUCGAGCCCCCCCGGGGGCCUCGGUGUUGGGGGACGGCACACCAGCCGCCCCCGAAAUGCAGUGGCGACCCCGCCGCAGCCUCCCCUGCGUAGUAGCACACACCUCGCACCGGAGCGCUGAGGCGGUCACGCCGUAAAACGCCCAACUUUCUUAGAGUUGACCUCGGAUCAGGUAGGAAUACCCGCUGAACUUAAGCAUAUCAAUAAGCGGAGGA
rnacentral:misc_RNA from 1 species